UCUGGUAUUGAUUGGUGCUUGCAUCAUGAUUUACAUUUGAGUGAGUGGCGAACUGGUGAGUAACACGUGGGAAACCUGCCCAGAAGCGGGGGAUAACACCUGGAAACAGAUGCUAAUACCGCAUAACAACUUGGACCGCAUGGUCCGAGUUUGAAAGAUGGCUUCGGCUAUCACUUUUGGAUGGUCCCGCGGCGUAUUAGCUAGAUGGUGAGGUAACGGCUCACCAUGGCAAUGAUACGUAGCCGACCUGAGAGGGUAAUCGGCCACAUUGGGACUGAGACACGGCCCAAACUCCUACGGGAGGCAGCAGUAGGGAAUCUUCCACAAUGGACGAAAGUCUGAUGGAGCAACGCCGCGUGAGUGAAGAAGGGUUUCGGCUCGUAAAACUCUGUUGUUAAAGAAGAACAUAUCUGAGAGUAACUGUUCAGGUAUUGACGGUAUUUAACCAGAAAGCCACGGCUAACUACGUGCCAGCAGCCGCGGUAAUACGUAGGUGGCAAGCGUUGUCCGGAUUUAUUGGGCGUAAAGCGAGCGCAGGCGGUUUUUUAAGUCUGAUGUGAAAGCCUUCGGCUCAACCGAAGAAGUGCAUCGGAAACUGGGAAACUUGAGUGCAGAAGAGGACAGUGGAACUCCAUGUGUAGCGGUGAAAUGCGUAGAUAUAUGGAAGAACACCAGUGGCGAAGGCGGCUGUCUGGUCUGUAACUGACGCUGAGGCUCGAAAGUAUGGGUAGCAAACAGGAUUAGAUACCCUGGUAGUCCAUACCGUAAACGAUGAAUGCUAAGUGUUGGAGGGUUUCCGCCCUUCAGUGCUGCAGCUAACGCAUUAAGCAUUCCGCCUGGGGAGUACGGCCGCAAGGCUGAAACUCAAAGGAAUUGACGGGGGCCCGCACAAGCGGUGGAGCAUGUGGUUUAAUUCGAAGCUACGCGAAGAACCUUACCAGGUCUUGACAUACUAUGCAAAUCUAAGAGAUUAGACGUUCCCUUCGGGGACAUGGAUACAGGUGGUGCAUGGUUGUCGUCAGCUCGUGUCGUGAGAUGUUGGGUUAAGUCCCGCAACGAGCGCAACCCUUAUUAUCAGUUGCCAGCAUUAAGUUGGGCACUCUGGUGAGACUGCCGGUGACAAACCGGAGGAAGGUGGGGAUGACGUCAAAUCAUCAUGCCCCUUAUGACCUGGGCUACACACGUGCUACAAUGGAUGGUACAACGAGUUGCGAACUCGCGAGAGUAAGCUAAUCUCUUAAAGCCAUUCUCAGUUCGGAUUGUAGGCUGCAACUCGCCUACAUGAAGUCGGAAUCGCUAGUAAUCGCGGAUCAGCAUGCCGCGGUGAAUACGUUCCCGGGCCUUGUACACACCGCCCGUCACACCAUGAGAGUUUGUAACACCCAAAGUCGGUGGGGUAACC
rnacentral:rRNA from 2 species